rnacentral:rRNA from 1 species
UGGCGAAGGCAGCUUCCUGGCAUCAUACUGACACUGAGGCUCGAAAGCGUGGGUAGCAAACAGGAUUAGAUACCCUGGUAGUCCACGCCGUAAACGAUGUCUACUAGUCGUUGGGUCCCUUGAGGACUUAGUGACGCAGCUAACGCAAUAAGUAGACCGCCUGGGGAGUACGGCCGCAAGGUUAAAACUCAAAUGAAUUGACGGGGGCCCGCACAAGCGGUGGAGCAUGUGGUUUAAUUCGAUGCAACGCGAAGAACCUUACCUGGUCUUGACAUAUCUAGAAUCCUGCAGAGAUGCGGGAGUGCCUUCGGGAAUUAGAAUACAGGUGCUGCAUGGCUGUCGUCAGCUCGUGUCGUGAGAUGUUGGGUUAAGUCCCGCAACGAGCGCAACCCUUGUCCUUAGUUACCAGCGGGUUAAGCCGGGAACUCUAAGGAUACUGCCAGUGACAAACUGGAGGAAGGCGGGGACGACGUCAAGUCAUCAUGGCCCUUACGACCAGGGCUACACACGUGCUACAAUGGUAGGUACAGAGGGCAGCUACACAGCGAUGUGAUGCGAAUCUCAAAAAGCCUAUCGUAGUCCAGAUUGGAGUCUGCAACUCGACUCCAUGAAGUAGGAAUCGCUAGUAAUCGCGGAUCAGAAUGCCGCGGUGAAUACGUUCCCGGGCCUUGUACACACCGCCCGUCACACCAUGGGAGUUGAUUGCACCAGAAGUGGAUAGCUUAACCUUCGGGGAGGCGUUCACCACGGUGUGGUUGAUGACUGGGGUGAAGUCGUAACAAGGUAGCCGUA